AAGACAAAACAAAGGCUUUGAAAAGCAAGAGCUGGUGCUAAAGUACGCCGGAGGGGACAUAAACCCACCUUCCAUCAUCGCCUCACUUUCUUCCACGCCUAUUCUUUAUUGUCUUCUUGUCCGUUUCCUUCUUUUUCCCACUCAAAACACUGACUUCUCUUUCGGUUUCACAGGGAGAGCUCUCAAAAGAAAAAAGGUUUGAUUGAGCUUGAUGUAAUUGUACUGCGUGUGAAGUGAGCAAGAGCAAGAAGAUGAUGGAAUGGGAUAAUCAAGAAUCGUUGGAGAAUCAUCAGAAUAAUAAUAAUAAUAAUAGUAAUAAUAAUAACAACAAUAAUAAUAGUAACCAGAGAGGUGAUCAGAAUGGAAGUAGUGUUAAUGGAGCAAUGUAUGUGAAGGUUAUGACUGAUGAACAACUUGAAACUCUGAGGAAACAGAUUGCGGUUUACGCUACUAUUUGUGAUCAGCUCGUUGAAAUGCAUAAAUCCCUCUCUGCCCAGCAAGAUCUUGCAGGAGCCCGGUUAGGGAAUCUCUACUGUGAUCCAUUGAUGACUUCUUCCGGGCACAAGAUUACGGCCAGACAGAGGUGGACUCCGACGCCUGUGCAGCUUCAAAUUCUUGAGAGCAUCUUUGAUCAAGGAAAUGGAACUCCAAGCAAGCAAAAGAUUAAAGAGAUAACCUCUGAGCUCAGCCAGCAUGGCCAAAUAUCUGAAACAAAUGUCUACAAUUGGUUCCAAAAUAGACGUGCUAGAUCAAAGAGGAAGCAAAUAGUUGCUUCAUCGUCUAAUGCUGAAUCAGAAGUAGAGACAGAGGUUGAUUCAAUGAUUGAACAGAAGGCUAAACCAGAAAACUUUAGCUCCCAACAGAACACAGCUCCUAGGGCUGAUGAUCUUUGCUUUCAAAGCAACGAGAUUGCCCCUGAACUGCAUUUUCUGGGCGUUUUGUCAAAUGCAAUAACUUCAGAAUAGCUUUGAUGUCCUCUGAAAGAUGUCAGUAGAUGUCAAUCAAGUAAUGGUGCAUAUUUCCUGGAGAUGAACACCUAUCUGGAAAAAUGGGAAUGGGAGGGAGCUACAAUCUUUAUGAGCAUGCAGAAGACUACAGCAUGGCUGGGUGACAGAGACUCAUUAUAAUAAUUUUAUUAGCUGUGAUUAAUUUGUCUGACAAAGUUUAUGUAAUGAGUAGAAGCCAUGAUAUGAAGAGGUAGUUUCACUUCAGUCUGAUUAUUGAAACUUACACCAUUAAUGCCUGAUGUAGCAAAGUUUCAUCUUCUUCUGGUUUGAUAUUUUUAUCAAAUGAACUGGUUUAUGUAAUUUGAAGAAUGAACUUUCUUUACAGUAUGUAUGGCAUUAAUAUAAUUUUGUAUUGGCUUUUGAGUUUCAA